GACGAACGCUGGCGGCGUGCCUAAUACAUGCAAGUUGAGCGAUGAAGAUUGGUGCUUGCACCAAUUUGAAGAGCAGCGAACGGGUGAGUAACGCGUGGGGAAUCUGCCUUUGAGCGGGGGACAACAUUUGGAAACGAAUGCUAAUACCGCAUAACAACUUUAAACAUAAGUUUUAAGUUUGAAAGAUGCAAUUGCAUCACUCAAAGAUGAUCCCGCGUUGUAUUAGCUAGUUGGUGAGGUAAAGGCUCACCAAGGCGAUGAUACAUAGCCGACCUGAGAGGGUGAUCGGCCACAUUGGGACUGAGACACGGCCCAAACUCCGACAGGAGGAAGCAGUAGGGAAUCUUCGGCAAUGGACGAAAGUCUGACCGAGCAACGCCGCGUGAGUGAAGAAGGUUUUCGGAUCGUAAAACCCUGUUGGUAGAGAAGAACGUUGGUGAGAGUGGAAAGCUCAUCAAGUGACGGUAACUACUCAGAAAGGGACGGCUAACUACGUG
rnacentral:rRNA from 1 species